rnacentral:lncRNA from 14 species
AAGUACACUGUUGCUGUCUUCAGACGCACCAGAAGAGGGCACCAGAUCCCAUUACAGAUGGUUGUGAGCCACCAUGUGGUUGCUGGGAAUUGAACUCAGGACCUCUGGAAGAGCAGUCGGUGCUCUUAACCACUGAGCCAUCUCUCCAGCCCGGCCUUCACUUUUCUCGAAAGGUGGCUCUCUCCACUGUGUGAGGAGAGCCAGGACGAAAAGGUAUUUUUGGAGUUAAUGGAGCCAGAAGAAGCUCUAGAAUCAGAGAGUUCAGAAAAGUCACUAUUUUCCUCACGGCAUGACUAUGAAGAAUCCCAAGAAGCAGAUGAAACAGGCACCGAGAACCCCCUCCUGCAGCCGACUCUCACCGGGGACGUAGAAGGUUUACAGAAGAUUUUUGAGGAUCCUGAAAAUCCUCACCAUGAGAAUGCUGUGCAGCUGCUUUUGGAAGAAGACAUUGUUGGGAGAAAUCUGCUGUAUGCAGCUUGCAUGGCUGGCAAAAGUGAUGUAAUUAGAGCUUUGGCAAAGUAUGGGGUGAAUCUGAAUGAGAAAACUGCCAGAGGGUACACACUCUUACACUGCGCUGCAGCCUGGGGCCGCCUGGAAACUUUGAAGGCCCUGGUGGAACUGGAUGUUGAUAUAGAGGCUUUGAACUUCCGGGGAGAGAAAGCUCGAGACGUUGCUGCUCGCUAUUCUCAGGCCGAAUGUGUUCAUUUUCUGGACCGGGCAGAUGCAAGGCUGAUUCUGAAAAAAUUUAUUACAAAAUCCUCUCUCAUCAUUACUGACCCAGAAAAGACACCAGGGAAACUCUUCAAGGAAGAUAAGAAUGCCAUCCUCAACGCAUGCCGCAUGAAAAAUGAGUGGUUGGAAAGCCACCCGGAGGCCUCCAUCAGUGAGCUUUUUGUGCAGAAACAACAACUGGAAGACAUUGUUUCCCCAAUCAUAGCAAAAAUGUCUACACCACGUCAAGUGAAAAGUGCCAGAUCAGUAAUUUAAGCCAUGGUCAGCAGAGACGUCAUGGAUGUACCUUCUACAGAUGCCACAUGGUGUAGGAGGCUACAUUACGUUUCUGUGUUACAUAAGAACAAACCUGUUCCUGCCAAAUUCAAGAAAUAGAUCCGGGGUUUUGCAGAAAUGUCUGGGUACAAAUGCAGUCACCUGGCUUUGUGUUAGACUGGCCAGAAUACUCACGACUGGCUCAGGGGCUGGGCCUCAGCUCCCCCAAACACUGCUCCUCCUGAGUCCUCCAAGCACCGCUCCUCCUGAGUCCUCUAAGCACAGCGCUUUUGAGAGUUUCCGCGUUCCUUCAGAAGUUAAUAGUUUUCUGUGUAACUGAAGCAAUAAAUUUCUACUUGACUAGGGAAUUCCAUUUUUAAAAGACGCAUUAAGCCAUUUGUAAAAGAAAAGUACUGUUUCCUCUCUUUCAAAAAGCAAAUACUAAGAAUUGUUUGGGGUUUUAGCCGUCUGAAUUAAAGUUCACCUGGAAAGGUGGGAUAUAGUUUCUGAGAAAAGCUCACAAAUCUGUCUCUUUUCCCCUCUUGGGGGUUUGGUAAUGUACUGUAAUAGACACCAGUCUCUUUUACAUUGCCUGUGUUUUAAAGUCAUGGUUACGGAAAGGGUCUUCAGAAAGUACUUUGCUAGUCAAGUCAAGUCAGGACCCUGAACUUCCUAAUACUUUGUGACUUUCUGGGGAAGCUUUUAUAAAAAAUAAUAAUAUAUAUAUUUAAAAAGGGAGAGAAUCUUUUUAUCACUUUCUCCUCUUUGUCUUGCUAUGCAAACUAUUUUUCACUUUAGAGGGUAAAAAAAACAAGGGAGCCAUUCAGUCAUACUCGUCAGGCGAUGUUCUCUUGGUUACAGUAUUGAGGCCAUCUUAUUUUAAAUGUUUCCCCAAAUUUCCAUGUUUUCUUUCUACAAGCAAUUACCAUUUGGCUUCCUUCAGCAGAAACACGAACACUAGGCCUACUCUGUGACACCGGAGUGUUCACCGCUUACGGGAGGCAGAGACCUGUGCGGCCCUUUUAGAAUGGUAUCUUUCAAGAUACUUGGUGCACAUCAGCACUGAGAUCACUAGAAAGAGCCUAGGUGUCUGUAGGGUUGGGGGUUGUUCUCAUUUUUAUUCUGUCACAUUCUCUGAGCCUUGAUCAUGAAUACAAUGAUGUUUUCUAGGCCUUUGCUCCUUAUAAGUAGGAAGGGAGUCUGAAAACUCAUUUUUAUUCCCAGGUAAGACAGAGCAUUCUUAACAACCUAUUAGAAUAACUUCUCUCUCCCUCUUUGCCUCACAAUCUUUGUCCUCAGCCAUUUUAUAGUCUUUGAUACACUUGCUAACACAGUAUUUGUACAGUCCCUUGAAUUGGCACCUUUAUACCAACUUUCUUAAAAUCUCCUUUUCUAACUCCCCACCAGCUUCUCUUCUUCUUGACCCUCAUUGUCAGAACCUCUCAGGAUUCAAUUCUGGUUCUUGGUGGGACACUGGUUCUUCCUCAUCCCAUGACCACUCCUCAUUCUGUGUCCUGUGUAACAAAGCCUCAUUCUGUGUCCUGUGCAAUGAAGCCUCAUUCUGUGUCUGUAACAAAGCCUCAUUCUGUGUCUGUGCAAUGAAGUCUCAUUCUGUGUCCUGUGCAAUGAAGUCCCAUUCUGUGUCUGUAACGAAACCUCUUUCUGUGUCCUGUGUAAUUAAUUGCAUGCUUCUCUCUCCAUGUGAAUGAAUAUGGAUCUUUAUGAAAGGACCUUUUGUUGUGGCCUUCCUCAUCCCUAAAGACAUUGUAAAAUAGUAAGUUGGUAGAUAAAAGUUGAAUUGACUCACUUAGUAUUACCUUACUCCCAGUACCUAGCACUGCUUAGUACUUCCUAGUACUCUUUGAACUCAUCCCCUCUUCAUUCAUUCAUAGAGCUUGAUUGCCAUUAUAGAAAUGCUACCAACCUUAGCUUAUGCCCUGCUAAUGUCAGUGUGCCACUGGAAUACCUACUCCUUCAACAGACAAGCCAUACACACAGCAAACACUGUGGCUCUUUGUCUGCCCUCUCCCCAACUGUGUGUUCCUUAAACUUUGGUCUUGAAUGUCAUGGACGUGGUGAUUCCCCUGGGAUUCAUGGAUCUUAUUUCAGAGACUCCUUUUAUGCGGGGUCUUAUAUCUGUGUAUGUGUACCUUCUGUUUUGUGAGAGGCGAUGUCAAUUAUUACCUAUUGUUGCACUGACUUGUAGGUAGAUCAGUAGGAGAUUUAGAUGCUCUUAUGCUGUGAGUUUGAUGUUAUUUCAUUAGCUGCAUGGUGUUUUCUGAUCUUGCAUUGAUUAGUUACUUUUUAAAAGUAUGAGCCAACAGUUCAGGAAUGCCUCCACAGUAUUCAAAAGGGAGGCAAUUUAAUGUUAUGAUCAGUUCUAGGUGGUAGUUCUUUAGAUUUUAUGUUUCAUUGGUCAUAAAAAUGUAAAAAAAAUGUAAAGGUACGAUAUUAAUAUAACUAUUAAAAUAACAACUGCUGCCUGUUAUCACUGUCAUGUAACAAAAGAUGUUUUAACUCCAAAAAGUAGGGGGCUAUGUGGUGACAGUAUGAACUGAAUAAACUAAAUGUUGUUAUAGAACUUUAUGUUAGAUGUACUCUUCUCAUUUUGCCUCGUAUGAUAGAACUUUUAUCAUACACCAGAACUGACCUAGUGUCUAACUUUCGACAUCUACCACUGUAGAUGUCAAACUGGCAUUUGUUUUAACAUUAAACCUUGUAAGAGGCUGGCAGUUCCUCUGGUGUUCAUCUAAUAUGCAGCAGACUGACAUUUAUUUUAACAUUAAACAUUGUAAAAGGUUGACAUCUAGUGUUCAUCUCAUAUGCAGUAGCUCAUAUUGUACAGGCGAAGUAGUAACCCCCCAUUUCACACACUCCUCUUACUGUGUGGUCCUACCAUUUCUAGCAUAGCAAUGCCAGUUUCUGGUCUCUCUUGAAUCCAGGGAGCCCAUGACUGUAGUUGAAAAUGGUCCUGUGUCAUUUCCAGUGCUAGGUUAUAAGAGGUUGGUUUGGCUUCUGCCUCAGUCUCUUAAGAUCCUGCCCUAGAAGCCAGUCUGUGGGGAGUCCAGCAAGGGAAGGAACUGUUGCUCAAGCCUGCAGCGCUGGCUGUGCUCUGCCCAGCUUAGCCAUUGCUCUCAACCUGCCCAGAUCAUGCAGUCAUCUUGGAAGUGAAUUCUCCAAUCAAGCCCCUGUUUGAUGUUAUGUGGAAUGGAGACACACUUUCUCUGCCAAGUUCUACCAAAAUCAUGAGCUUCUGAG